rnacentral:rRNA from 1 species
GCCUCAGUAACGGCGAGUGAAGCGGCAAAAGCUCAAAUUUGAAAUCCUUCGGGAGUUGUAAUUUGUAGGUUGGGAGACCCCGCGGCUAGUGGCACCAAGUCCCUUGGAACAGGGCGCCUUAGAGGGUGAGAGCCCCGUAGGUACCACAACACCGUCUUGUGUCUCCUCUCCAAAGAGUCGAGUUGUUUGGGAAUGCAGCUCAAAGUGGGUGGUAAAUUCCAUCUAAAGCUAAAUACCGGCGAGAGACCGAUAGCGAACAAGUACAGUGAUGGAAAGAUGAAAAGCACUUUGAAAAGAGAGUGAAACAGUACGUGAAAUUGUUGAAAGGGAAGGGCUUGCAAGCAGACACGGCCUUCGUGCCGGGCCAGCAUCGGUUGCUAGGGGUGGAUAAGGAACAAGGAAUGUAGCUCCUCGGAGUAUUAUAGCCUUGCGCGAUACACCCACUGGCGACCGAGGCCUGCGGUAUUCCUACCUAGGAUGCUGGCGUAAUGGUUGCAAGCCGCCCGUCUUGAA